AGGGUAUAGGUCAGUGGUAGAGCAUAUGCUUGGCAUGCAUGAGGUCCUGGGUUCAAUCCCCAGUACCUCUG
rnacentral:tRNA from 1 species